UACGUAGGGGGCAAGCGUUGUCCGGAUUUACUGGGUUUAAAGGGUGCGUAGGCGGUCUAUUAAGUCAGCGGUGAAAUACUCCAGCUUAACUGGAGGGGUGCCAUUGAUACUGAUGGACUUGAGUCAAGUCGAGGUAGGCGGAAUUGACGGUGUAGCGGUGAAAUGCUUAGAUAUCGUCAAGAACACCAAUAGUGAAGACAGCUUACUGGGCUUAAACUGACGCUGAGGCACGAAAGUGUGGGGAUCAAACAGG
rnacentral:rRNA from 1 species